UCAGCAAUGAUUCUUAGUGGCGAACGGGUGAGUAACGCGUAGACAACCUGCCUUCUAGAUGGGGACAACACUGCGAAAGUGGUGCUAAUACCGAAUGUUGUAUUAAGCCUGCAUGGGCUUGAUACUAAAGGUGGCCUCUAUUUAUAAGCUAUCACUAGAAGAUGGGUCUGCGUCUGAUUAGCUAGUUGGUGAGGUAAUGGCUCACCAAGGCGAUGAUCAGUAGCCGGUCUGAGAGGAUGAACGGCCACACUGGGACUGAGACACGGCCCAGACUCCUACGGGAGGCAGCAGUGGGGAAUCUUCCGCAAUGGACGAAAGUCUGACGGAGCAACGCCGCGUGAGUGAAGAAGGUUUUCGGAUCGUAAAGCUCUGUCUUUGAGGACGAAUGUGUCUAAUGUGAAUAAUGUUAGAUAAUGACGGUACUCGAGGAGGAAGCCACGGCUAACUACGUGCCAGCAGCCGCGGUAAUACGUA
rnacentral:rRNA from 1 species